CAGAGAGCUCCUGGCUACCAGGAGGAAGCCACGGGUCUGCAGGGAGUAAGAGGUGACUGAAACCACAAGAGUGUCUUCCCUGAGAGAGUGGACGGAGUAACGAGAGAGAUGGUGCAAGAACAGUUGAGGAAGGAAGGGAAAGACAACUACAGAGAAAGGUUCCAAGAAGUAGGAGCCACUCCAGGAGCCAAGAGAGGCCUUUGGAAAUGGGUGGGUAAGCUCCUACUGCACUUCCAAGUGCGUAAGGAUUAGAGCCCUCCAUUAUAGGUAUUGGCUCCAAUGAUGGCUUCUUAGCUUUGGAACCGAGUUCAGCCAUAGCAUUUCCCAAACUCUUCAGUUGCUAAGAAUGGCCAGGGCGGUCUUUUAUAAAACACACCCCCCUGGGGCCUGUCCUGACUCAGAGCAUGUCUCUCCAAUGAAGGGGCCGCAAAGCUGGUUUUUUAACAAGCUCUACAGGUGAUUCUCAUCAUAUGUUUGGGCCACUGUCUCAUAGCCUUGCUUCUCAAACUUUAAGAUUCUCCAGAAAUACCUGGGGACCUCAAUAAACCACCGGUUAUGAUUCGGUAGGUUUGAAUGGGCAGCAAGUCUGCAUUUCUAGGCAGCUUCCAGGCGACAGCCACACUUCUGUGGUCUCAGGACCACCCUGGCAGGAACAGGGCUAGAGAGAACACCUGUCUCAUUUUGCAGGCAAGGAAACAGGUUCUGAGGCGGCAAGCCGUCAAUCCAAGGUGACCCAGCUCAGUGAGUGCCAGAGCGGAGAGAGAUGUCCUGCCUGAGGGUGGGUCUCUGGAUCGUGACUCCAUCAGGCGCCCAUAUUCUGCCUCCAACAAGGAUGGCAGAUUGAGUGUGAGGUGACAGCAGCGAGCACCCGCUGUUCUGUGUCGAAUAUUCCCCUUUCUGCUCCGUCUUUGCUUUCUCCCCUGUCCUGCAGCCCAAUACCAGUUACUGCUGCCUCCUCCUGCCGCUAGUGCCACCUGCCUCCCCAGCGGCGGGCCAGGACUCCCCACUACACCUCCCUCCAGCCCCCUUCCCCCGCUUCCUGAGCCCUUCUCCUUCCUCCCCGGGCCCCGUGCCCGAGUCUCCAGCCACACUGUGCUACUUCCCCAUCUCCAGCCCCAGGCCCAUCGAGACCCCUGUGCUAUGCCUGCCCGGCCCCCGACAGCCCAGUAAAAUCUACCUCGUGUGGUAAGUGGCCCUCGGCAGGGCAGGGCGCACAGCACAGUGGAGCCGAAGAGCUUCCGGAGGGCAGGUGGACAAGAGGGGGGCCCACGGCAGGCCGGUGUGGUGCGUUGGGGAAGACCAGACAGCUGCAGCCACUUCACUCAGCCUUCUCCUAGCACUUAAAGGAGUGAGCGACCAAUAAAAUCCCAUCCUCCCUCU